rnacentral:misc_RNA from 1 species
GUGAGUCAUCGAAUCUUUGAACGCACAUUGCGCCCCCUGGUAUUCCUAGGGGCAUGCCUGUUCGAGCGUCAUUGUAAAAUCUCAAGCUUGGCUUGGUGUUGGGUCAUCGUGACUCCCCAUGUAUGUGGGGGUCAGCGUGCCCGAAAAUCAGUGGCGGUGUCACGAUGGUCUCAAGCGUAGCAGACAAUCUCUCGCUUUGGAUGGCCUUGGUGGGUCACCAGCUGACAAAUUUCAGAAAUGUUUGACCUCGGAUCAGGUAGGGAUACCCGCUGAACUUAAGCAUAUCAAUAAGCGGAGGA